UACGUAGGGUGCAAGCGUUAUCCGGAAUUAUUGGGCGUAAAGAGCUCGUAGGUGGCUUGUCGCGUCUGCCGUGAAAGCCCAUGGCUUAACUAUGGGUCUGCGGUGGAUACGGGCAGGCUAGAGGCUGGUAGGGGCAAGCGGAAUUCCUGGUGUAGCGGUGAAAUGCGCAGAUAUCAGGAGGAACACCGGUGGCGAAGGCGGCUUGCUGGGCCAGUUCUGACGCUGAGGAGCGAAAGCGUGGGGAGCGAACAGG
rnacentral:rRNA from 1 species